rnacentral:rRNA from 1 species
GAUGAACGCUAGCUACAGGCUUAACACAUGCAAGUCGAGGGGUAGCAGGGUAGCAAUACCGCUGACGACCGGCGCACGGGUGAGUAACACGUAUCCAACCUUCCCAUAACUCUGGGAUAGCCUUUCGAAAGAAAGAUUAAUACCGGAUGGUACUUUUUCAAGGCAUCUUGAGAAAGUUAAAGAUUUAUUGGUUAUGGAUGGGGAUGCGUUCCAUUAGAUAGUUGGUGAGGUAACGGCUCACCAAGUCUUCGAUGGAUAGGGGUUCUGAGAGGAAGGUCCCCCACAUUGGUACUGAGACACGGACCAAACUCCUACGGGAGGCAGCAGUGAGGAAUAUUGGUCAAUGGGCGAGAGCCUGAACCAGCCAAGUAGCGUGAAGGAUGAAGGUCCUAUGGAUUGUAAACUUCUUUUAUAGUAGAAUAAAGUGACCCACGUGUGGGUUUUUGUAUGUAUACUAUGAAUAAGGAUCGGCUAACUCCGUGCCAGCAGCCGCGGUAAGGAGUAGUACA